rnacentral:rRNA from 1 species
CCGCGUGAAUGAUGAAGGUCUUAGGAUUGUAAAAUUCUUUCAGUAGGGACGGAUAAUGACGGUACCUACAGAAGAAGCCCCCGGCUAACUUCGUGC